rnacentral:rRNA from 1 species
CAGCCGCCGCGGGAAUACGUAGGUGGCAAGCGUUGUCCGGAAUGAUUGGGCGUAAAGGGCGCGCAGGCGGCUGUGUAAGUCUGUCUAGAAAGUGCGGGGCUAAACCCCGUGAGAGGAUGGAAACUGGACAGCUGAGAGUGUCGGAGAGGAAAGCGGAAUUCCUAGUGUAGCGGUGAAAUGCGUAGAUAUUAGGAGGAACACCGGUGGCGAAAGCACUCUGCUGGGCCGACACUGACACUGAGAGACGAAGGCUAGGGGAGCAAAUGGGAUUAGAUACCCCCGUAGUCCCUGUCUCUUAUAA